UGGGGAAUAUUGCACAAUGGGCGCAAGCCUGAUGCAGCCAUGCCGCGUGUAUGAAGAAGGCCUUCGGGUUGUAAAGUACUUUCAGCGGGGAGGAAGGGAGUAAAGUUAAUACCUUUGCUCAUUGACGUUACCCGCAGAAGAAGCACCGGCUAACUCCGUGCCAGCAGCCGCGGUAAUACGGAGGGUGCGAGCGUUAAUCGGAAUUACUGGGCGUAAAGCGCACGCAGGCGGUUUGUUAAGUCAGAUGUGAAAUCCUCGGGCUCAACCUGGGAACUGCAUCUGAUACUGGCAAGCUUGAGUCUCGUAGAGGGGGGUAGAAUUCCAGGUGUAGCGGUGAAAUGCGUAGAGAUCUGGAGGAAUACCGGUGGCGAAGGCGGCCCCCUGGACGAAGACUGACGCUCAGGUGCGAAAGCGUGGGGAGCAAACAGG
rnacentral:rRNA from 1 species